rnacentral:misc_RNA from 1 species
AGUCGUAACAAGGUCUCCGUAGGUGAACCUGCGGAGGGAUCAUUACCAGUACCACCGUCGCCUCCGGGCGUCGGUCUACUACCAACCCUUUGUCAUCCGACCUCGUUGCCUCCGGGUGCGACCCUGACCUUCGGGUCUCGCGUCUCCCCGGGUGGACACACAUCAAAACUCUGCAUAACUUUGUAGUCUGAGUAAAACUUUUAAUUAAAUUAAAACUUUCAACAACGGAUCUCUUGGUUCUGGCAUCGAUGAAGAACGCAGCGAAAUGCGAUAAGUAAUGUGAAUUGCAGAAUUCAGUGAAUCAUCGAAUCUUUGAACGCACAUUGCGCCCCGUGGUAUUCCGCGGGGCAUGCCUGUUCGAGCGUCAUUUCACCACUCAAGCCUCGCUUGGUAUUGGGCGUCGCGGUCCGCCGCGUGCCUCAAAUCGACCGGCUGGGUCGAUCGCACCCUCAGCGUUGUGGCAACAUCAUUCGCUAAAGGGACCGCGGUCGGUCACGCCGUGAAACAAACCAAUUUUUCAAUGGUUGACCUCGGAUCACGUAGGGAUACCCGCUGAACUUAAGCAUAUCAU